UACGUAGGGGGCAAGCGUUGUCCGGAUUUAUUGGGCGUAAAGAGCGUGUAGGCGGUUUGGUAGGUCCGUUGUGAAAACUCGAGGCUCAACCUCGAGACGCCGGUGGAAACCAUCAGACUAGAGUCCGGAAGAGGAGAGUGGAAUUCCUGGUGUAGCGGUGAAAUGCGCAGAUAUCAGGAAGAACACUGGUGGCGAAGGCGGGUCUCUGGGCCGAUACUGACACUGAGGAGCGAAAGCGUGGGGAGCGAACAGG
rnacentral:rRNA from 1 species